CCUACGGGGUGCAGCAGUGAGGAAUAUUGGUCAAUGGUCGGGAGACUGAACCAGCCAAGCCGCGUGAGGGAUGAAGGUACAGAGUAUCGUAAACCUCUUUUGUCAGGGAACAAAGGCGGGGACGUGUCCCCGGAUGAGUGUACCUGAAGAAAAAGCAUCGGCUAACCCCGUGCCAGCAGCCGCGGUAAUACGGGGGAUGCGAGCGUUAUCCGGAUUUAUGGGGGUAAAGGGGGGCGCAGGCGGUCUGUUAAGUCAGCGGUCAAAGCCCGGGGCUCAACCCCGGCCCGCCGUUGAAACUGGCAGUCUCGAGUUGGAGAGAAGUAUGCGGAAUGCGCGGUGUAGCGGUGAAAUGCAUAGAUAUCGCGCAGAACUCCGAUUGCGAAGGCAGCAUGCCGGCUCCACACUGACGCUGAGGCACGAAAGCGUGGGUAUCGAACAGGAUUCGAUACCCCAGUAGUC
rnacentral:rRNA from 1 species